rnacentral:rRNA from 1 species
GACGAACCGUGCGAACGUUGUUCGGAAUCACUGGGCUUAAAGGGCGCGUAGGCGGGCUGUCAAGUCUGGGGUGAAAUGCCGCGGCUCAACCGUGGAACUGCCUUAGAUACUGACGGCCUCGAGGAAGGUAGGGGCAUGCGGAACUGUAGGUGGAGCGGUGAAAUGCGUUGAUAUCUACAGGAACUCCGGUGGCGAAAGCGGCGUGCUGGACCUUUUCUGACGCUGAGGCGCGAAAGCUAGGGGAGCAAACGGGG